rnacentral:tRNA from 1 species
UCCCUGGUGGUCCAGUGGUUAGGACUCUGCUUUUACUGUUGAGGGUGCAGGUUCAAUCCCUGGUUGGGGAA